rnacentral:rRNA from 1 species
UACGAAGGGGGCUAGCGUUGCUCGGAAUUACUGGGCGUAAAGCGCACGUAGGCGGUCUCUUAAGUCGGUGGUGAAAUCCUGGAGCUCAACUCCAGAACUGCCUUCGAUACUGGGGGACUCGAGUUCGGGAGAGGUGAGUGGAACUGCGAGUGUAGAGGUGAAAUUCGUAGAUAUUCGCAAGAACACCAGUGGCGAAGUCGGCUCACUGGCCCGAUACUGACGCUGAGGUGCGAAAGCGUGGGGAGCAAACAGG